GGAUUGUGGCUCAGCGGUAGAGUGCUCACCUAGCACGGACGGGACCCGGGUUCGAUCCUCAGCACCA
rnacentral:tRNA from 1 species